CCUACGGGAGGCAGCAGUGAGGGAUAUUGCGCAAUGGGCGAAAGCCUGACGCAGCGACGCCGCGUGAGUGAAGAAGGCCUUCGGGUUGUAAAGCUCUUUCGGCAGGAACGAAACGGCGGACUCUAACAUAGUCUGUCAAUGACGGUACCUGAAGAAGAAGCACCGGCUAACUACGUGCCAGCAGCCGCGGUAAUACGUAGGGUGCGAGCGUUAAUCGGAAUUACUGGGCGUAAAGCGUGCGCAGGCGGCUUUGUAAGACGGAGGUGAAAUCCCUGGGCUUAACCUAGGAACUGCGUUCGUGACUGCAAGGCUAGAGUGCGGCAGAGGGGGGUGAAAUUCCUGGUGUAGCAGUGAAAUGCGUAGAGAUCAGGAGGAACACCGAUGGCGAAGGCAGCCCCCUGGGUGGGAACUGACGCUAAUGCACGAAAGCGUGGGGAGCAAACGGGAUUAGAUCCCCCUGUAGU
rnacentral:rRNA from 1 species